ACCAAGGCACACGUGAGCCAAGUGGAGCGCGGAGGUUGGUGUCUCCCCAUAAAAAGAACAUCUUUAGUCUGAAGCGCAGUUCAUUUCGUAGGCUGGAGAGAGUGGUGCUAAUCCAAUAAUUUGCAAAGCUGCAGUUUAGGUUGAGUUAUUAUUUUUGUCUCACCUUCCGCAGUUAAGAGAUCUCGGGUGAAUGAUAAGCACAGGAGUGAUACAAUUGAGGAAAACUCGUUUAUCGUUGUUUCUGAAGAACAAAUGAGAUCUUGUUGUCGACUAAUUCCGGUUUAUUUACAGUUACAGUGGACUUCGUGGCCAGUGAUUCAAGGGAGAGGUGAAUUGGAAGAGGCUGAGGUUUGUAUGUUCCUCACUAUGUUCAUUGUAGUGGCUGUGAUUAUUGCAAAUGUAUAACUUAUAUACUGUAUUGUAAUAUUUUAUGUGAAUGUAACAAUUUAACAAUCCUGUUUGAGUUUCUAUACACAAUAAACAAAAUACACGUCUUUGCUUGUG